UUGCAGCGCGUAUGGGGUAAUAUAAGAUGCAAUUAGUGCAAUUAAUUGCAGUUUUUCCCUUUAGUGUUCGCUGCAAUAGAACUUCAACCGACAUUUUCCUUCUGAGUUGAUCCAUUCUCAGAUCUCAGCCCUAAUUAUCAAAUCUCCAAAACUCAUUUACAGUUCUCCUUCGCAAAUCUCACCGACGAUUAUUACUUCCUCUUUAUCUUUGAUCUACUCCAUCGCAAAUCUAAUAUCUGAAACCCCAACCAGCAUUCAUCUCUCUUUGUAAAUCUCAUUGUGAAUCUCCCUUUUAAUCUUCCUCCAAAUAUCUCGUAAUCUUUCAAUUUUGCAUCAAGAUUUCAAUAGCGGUCUACAGAGAGAUGAAAAAAGGGCAGAAGAGAGAGAAAGAAUUCGACCUUCUGCGGCUCGAUGUUCAACCUUCGUUGUUGGCUUUGCGGUCGAUUUUGUUAAUUUUUCUGGCCAAAUUGGUUUGAGUUUUUGGAAUUUACUCGGAUUCUUGGACCUGCCUAAGGGAGAUGAUCAGACCACUGAUAAUGAAGCGGAUGAGCAUGAAGCUGCUUCAUGGUUGCUACUUUACCCAGGUAAUCAGUCCUGCGACCGUCGUAUAACCAGCAGCAGGAAUUCAGUGUCCCUGAGAAGAACUUUGGAGAUGACAGCGUUGUACCAGUUAAGUCUAGGGAACCAAAAGAUCACCAAAUACGGUACCAGAACUCUUCAGUUAUUCAAAGGGGGCACUGCUUUGGGAACUGGCCGAGAUAAAUUAGAAGAAAGGGCCGGUAUUUGAUCAUCUUAGCAUUGGAGGAAGACGGAUUAGGUGAAGUUGUUCCUUCUCCUUCUGGCUCAAGGUAUGAUUCUGCCCGUCUUAAAUUUUGAAUCCCGUGUAGCCGAGAAGUAAUUUUUGCCUUAAUUAUAGAAUUGGGUUGUUUCAUUAUCUGAAUAAAGAAUCACAAAGUACUUGUAAUCAUUUGUUUUUAAUUUUCUUUUUUCAGUCAGUUGUAAUUAAGGAUUGUAUACAAUUGAUUAAAAGGGUGGACAUAACAUAGUAAGGUUGCUUUAUAGAAGUUAGGGGCAUUGGAUUAUCUAAAUCAAUUUUUGUCAUCAAUCUAAUUGCAAUAGUGGUAGGUCGAUGUCAAAAGUACUCUUACUAUCCAACUUUAAACUCUUGUGAAUUUUUGUUCUGUAGGGAAAAUGAGGCUUCUUGUCUUUGAUUACGUGCCCAUGGGAGCUUAUCUGCAUUUGCGUGGCGGAACUUUUUACAACUACAUUCUCUAACUGUAUAUAUAUAUAUAUAUAUAUAUAUAUAUAUAUUUAAUUUCCUGCAUUUUUCAAGUUGUUUCAGUCUUUGUCUUCAUGUUUAAGGGUGUUUUAAUAGAAAUUAUUUAAGUUAUUGUCGUGCUUAAUGUGGAAUAUUAAGGAUUCACUAUGCCCAAAUUCUAAGUAGAUUUUCUGAAUCUUUAGCAAAAAUACUCAAUAUGGUUAUGCAUUCUGAAAAAAUCUUCGAAGCUUACUAUGCAGUUGUCAUUGAAUUGGUUUAUUUGAUGUUGUGUUAUCCUUCAUUUUCUGUUGUAUUGAAUUGGUAACAUUUGACAUUUUUUUGUAUGUGUGAAAUGGCUGCUGCUGUGUGUGGUCUGUAGGAGAUGACGAGGCAGCAGGUUAGGCCUUGAAGUAGUUGUGGUUGAGUUGGAGUAACUACGACGAGGGGUAGAUAUUAGUUAAGAUGAAAUUGGAAAACUCCAAGAACUUCAAACUCUAGUCUAGACGACCUCUCAGGCUGAUCGUUGGAUUGUAAAGAUGAUUUCUUUGCUGGAGAAUCCCAAUUGUGUUCGUCCGAUAAGGUUUUGGGGUGUUUACACAAAGAUGAAGAUAUUCAACAUGACUAAUUACAAAAAAGUUGCGUAUCUUGAUGAAGAUACAAUUGUGAUCAAGAACAUUGAAGAUCUUUAGUUGUGGGAAGUUUUGUGCUAACCUGAAUCAUUCUGAAAGAUUGAAUUCUGGAGUUUUGGUAGUCGAACCAUCUAAAACGCUUUUUAGUGACAAUGUCUUUAGGUGUUAUAUCACUUCUAUGUCUUUAGGUUUUCUAUGAUGCAUUGUAUUUUGGUUAUUUUCUCAUAAUCCACACCGCAUGUACAUCUUAGGAGGAGAUCUUGAAGAUGCCACUCCUAUCAAAUAUCAAGGGAAAUCUUCUGCAUCAGUUUUGCCGUAUGUUGGUGUUGCUUGUUUGGGAACUAUUUUGUUUGGAUAUCACCUUGUGAAGUGGGUUGAACAAGGUCUUUACCUUGUAUAGUUGUGCACAAUGGAGGCUUAUGUGCAUGCUCUCACUUUAUGUAAUUCUUUCUAUAUGUCAAUUAAUAAAAUUGCUAAUUAGCUGUUAUGGACCAGAGCUGAAAUUUUGCAGUUUUGCAAUGCUGACAUAAUUAUUUGCAAUGUGAAUUAAAUCAGGGUUUGAUGUACAAGAGCUAUCUGAAGAGGCUCCAGAUGAUCAGGAGGGACUGGAUGCUAUAGUAACACAUGAGGGUUCUUCAGGAUAUUUUCAUAUCUCCAGAAUCUGGGUACUACUGAAAUUAACCGCAAGCGUCUCAUCAAAAUAUUCCUCGUCGGCGAUAACCAGAGGAAGAUGAAGAGUCACCGCCGAGGGUUUCAUUCUAGUACUUUCUUGAUGAACCGAUGAGGUUAGUCGAAUAUGCAGUUAGAGCGGAUGAUUUGUUGCGGAUUAACCGAUAGCUAGGUUGUUUCCUAGCAGUAUUAAGGGUUCUGUGCGGAUGAGUUUGGUUAACGACAAUUCUAUAUUCAUCGUCUUUAUAAUCGCAUUCAGGUCUUUCCUGAAAUGGUGAGUGUUUGAGUAGAACCAAAUCUUCAUAUAUCGAGCUCUUAUUGAUGGUUCUGCAAGAGCGGGCCAGGUAGCUAAAGCCUUUGGUCUAUGGGAUUUAAGGUGAUAAGGUUUAAGGUAUGCAGUUAUUGUACAUCUUUGGUUGAUUUCUAGACUACCUGCUCAGUAACUUUAAAAGCCAAAUGAUAGCAUACCUAUAGUGCAGUAGAAUGUGAAGCCAGAUCGAGUUGUGUUCAAUGCAGUUAUCACCGCUUGUGGCCAGUCUGGAGCAGUAGAACGCGCUUUUGACGUGCUGGCAGAAAUUGGAUCAGAAAUACAGCCUAUUAGCCCUGAUCACUUUACUAUUGGCUUCUGAUAAGAGCGUGUACGAGUGUUGGUCAGUGAUCACUCUGCAUCAGGUCAUCUUAUGAUUUUGCUGAUAUGGCAGGCUGGAUUCUAGAGAGGGAGGGAAAGCUACUAGCAGCAGCUUGAGACUGGUUCGACUGAUAAAUGGAUGGAAUGACUGCCCAUGAGCAGCAUAAUAAUUUUAAAGGAUUUUUCAUGAAAUACCCCCGAAUUUUGGCGUAAUUCACCAAAUGCCCCUCGACUGAAAUACCCCUAUUUCAAAACUAAGUACACCAAAUAUACUUAAUGACGUCAUCAACCCCAUAAUCAACCUCUUAACGUGUAAUUAAAGUACAUAAUCCCUAAUUAACACCCCUAAUCAACCCACCCACUAACAACCCACCCAUUAACCCACCCAUUAACCCACCAACCCACGUACCCAUUUCUUUUUCUUUUCUCUCUCCCUUCCUUCUUCCAUAAACUCACUGGUCUCUUCCCCUUCCUUCUUCCAUUAACCCCUCAAAAAUCAGCAACCUAGAUUGCAGAUUCCUCCCCACCACGCCCACCGUUUCAUUUCUUCUAUCUCCUCCUGCCACCGUAACAACCACCACCACUGCUAUUAAAAUACCCCUCAAACAUCAAGCAACCCAGAUUCACGAAUCAAGCAACCCAGAUUCCUCCACCACCUUGCCACCGUUUCAUUUUUUCUCUGAAUCUCUUCAAUUUUCUCUUAAUUCAUUCCAUAUUUCUCUGAAUUUAUGUUUGAGCUGUAGUUAUUUUUUCAAUUCAAGCAUUUUCAAGCAUUUUUGCCGGACGAUUUGGUAGUCUGUGGGAUUACUUUUACUUUUUGGCAGAAAAUUAAAUUCGGACGAUUUGGUUGUUUGUGGGAUUUCUUUUUGGCAGAAAAUGCAGAGGAUUGAAGAAAAAUGGUCGGAAUCGUCCAAUCGAGUGAUGAUGUCGAAACUCCUUCACCUCUGCUAUGAGUUCGACUCGGUGAACUCAACAGAGGUUCUGAUUAGCGGCGAAAUUACCGGCGGCGCCGUCGUUCCUUCAGUUAACGACGUCGACGGAGAUUUCGGCUUCGCUCCGCUUCACACCGCCGCGGAAAACCACACUCUCCACUGCAUUGAGUUGCUCCUCCGCAAAAGAGCACGAACGAACGUGAAAACAAAGUGCUGUUGCAGGUGUUAUUGCAGGCACAUCGGUUGGAAAUGGUUGUGUUUGGAGGAGGUGACUUGGUCGUUUCUGGGCUGCGGGUUCGACGAAGACGAAGGGCAGAGUAGCAGCAAAGUAAUUUCCAUGGAGGGAAGGGAAGAGGAAGGGGGUGAGAGAAACGAAAAAGUAAUUAGGGAAAAAAUAGGUUAAUGGGUGGGUUAAUUGGGUUAAUUAGUGUUGAUGACGUCAUAAGGGUAUUUCGUGUAAUAAGUAUUGAAAUAAGGAUAUUUUAUGUAUUUCUGAAAGUCGAGGGGCAUUUGGUGAAUUAUGCCAAAAUUCGGGGGUAUUUCAUGAAAAAUCCGUAAUUUUAAUAAGUUUCAAGAAUAGCUAUUGUGAUAAUUUGCUUCAUAAACGGAACAUUUGUAGAGUCAUCAAAUGUGCCCCCUUAAAACGUAUAGGCCCACUUUCAGCGUAUCACAGACUUCUUUCCGCUAGUGUUGGAUUUCUGAUUUAAUUUUUUCAGACUUUUGCAAUUUUACUCCCUCAAUAUCUUUUUGUUCAUUA